UGGGGAAUUUUGGACAAUGGGCGAAAGCCUGAUCCAGCAAUGCCGCGUGUGUGAAGAAGGCCUUCGGGUUGUAAAGCACUUUUGUCCGGAAAGAAAUCCUUGGCUCUAAUACAGUCGGGGGAUGACGGUACCGGAAGAAUAAGCACCGGCUAACUACGUGCCAGCAGCCGCGGUAAUACGUAGGGUGCAAGCGUUAAUCGGAAUUACUGGGCGUAAAGCGUGCGCAGGCGGUUUGCUAAGACCGAUGUGAAAUCCCCGGGCUCAACCUGGGAACUGCAUUGGUGACUGGCAGGCUAGAGUAUGGCAGAGGGGGGUAGAAUUCCACGUGUAGCAGUGAAAUGCGUAGAGAUGUGGAGGAAUACCGAUGGCGAAGGCAGCCCCCUGGGCCAAUACUGACGCUCAUGCACGAAAGCGUGGGGAGCAAAACAGGAUUAGAUACCCUGGUAGUCCACGCCCUAAAACGAUGUCAACUAGUUGUUGGGGAUUCAUUUCCUUAGUAACGUAGCUAACGCGUGAAGUUGACCGCCUGGGGAGUACGGUCGCAAGAUUAAAACUUAAAUGAAUUGACGGGGUCAU
rnacentral:rRNA from 1 species